rnacentral:rRNA from 1 species
UACGUAGGUGGCGAGCGUUGUCCGGAUUUACUGGGCGUAAAGAGCGUGCAGGCGGUCGUGUAAGUCGCGUGUGAAAGCCCCCGGCUCAACUGGGGAGGGUCACGCGAUACUGCUCGACUCGAAGGCAGGAGAGGGAAGUGGAAUUCCCGGUGUAGUGGUGAAAUGCGUAGAUAUCGGGAGGAACACCAGUGGCGAAGGCGACUUCCUGGCCUGUUCUUGACGCUGAGGCGCGAAAGCUAGGGGAGCAAACGGG